ACUUUACAAGGAUUUUUAAUUG
rnacentral:snRNA from 1 species